rnacentral:lncRNA from 1 species
UAUCAUGUGCCAAUAAUUAUACCUUUAUUAUCUAUCUGUUCUCCUUCUUUUGCGGCUCUGCUAAGCCCAUCUGGAGUUUGUUCACAGACUUUCAUUCUAGUUAAUAAAUUGCUCUAUUAUUAUUUUUUAUAAGUUUCUUCUCUACAGGACACUGAGCUUCUAUCAUGGCCGCAGCUAAGGAGAUGAAGCCACGUGCUGUUCCACAGGGUAUCUGCUCAUCUGGUCAGGGUGGAGACACUGAUGAGAUGGUGUGGGUUGGGUUCCUAGACUCUCUUCCUGUCAUCGGCUCUGUUAAAGAGGCUGUGGAGUGGGUCCUGGCUCUGGGUGAAGGAGAUCCCAUGCUUGCUGCUGAGAAGCAGGAGAAGAUGAUGGUUGCACUGGGGCUGCAAAAGGAGACCAGUGGAAGAAGCUCUGGAAGAUCAUCUGGGUUCAGCUCAGCCGAUGAAGGGGAUGCAGGCGCGGCCAUGGCGGGAACUGACGCUGCAGUUCAUGGUACAGGAAAGAGGGAGCGUGGUAGGGAAGGUGUUCCACUCAUCAGCCUGACUUCUUACAUCGAGAACAUGGCGUCUAAAGGGAAGAAAGGAUCCAGGUCUCAAGAAGCCGGUCAACAGCAGAAGAAAAUGAUUGAAAUUAAAAACAUGAUAGAGGAGGCGUUUCGCCGUAUAGAUCCAGACUACCAAAUUGACGAGCAGCUUCUUAAAGACACUGGUGUACGUUCUCGAAGAGGAGAGCAUGUGAUCAACAACGAUGUUCUUAAAUUUCACACCAAAAUCCUGACAGAGAGAGGAAUCCAGCGUGAUGUGCAGUGUCCCCUGAAGAGAAGUAUUCAGAAUGAUAUCAUGUAUGAGAUGGUGGCAGAGUUUGAGCCAUACGAGCUGUACAUCAAUGUGAACGCUGUGAUUUAUGGAUUUUAUUGUGGUGUGUUAAGAAUCGCUCUGUGGAAGCUGCUGGAACCAACCAGUCAGAUGAAAUCCAACCCCCUCCCAGCAGUUCAGAACUGGAGGAUACAAAUGCAUAGAAGGACUGAAGAGGUGAACUGGAGAGAUGAGGCCGGCCGUAUCAUUACUAACAUGAACGUCCACCAGGCUUAUGUGGAUCCUUUUGCAAAAGUUAAGUGGACUGGAAAUUCACAUGCCAACCUGACAAAGUGUAGCGGUCAUGUACCAAGACAUACGUGGACCUGGUUACUUUGGGAAAUUGUCAGUUUCUGUUUAGAUGGGUGAGGAGGUCUUAUUAAGCUCGACUAAAUCAUUACUCCUUCAGUAUGCAUGUGGAGUAAUAAAGAGAUAAUAACUACUUUAUUACUGUAAACU